AGUUGAGAGAGAGGUGCUUCUCCCUAUUCCUCUGAUGCCAUCAUCCUUCUUCAUUCCGUCAAUCAUUUCAACUUUUUCAACAUUACUUCUCCUUCCGUUCAUUCUUUUUCUUAGUUUUAACCAUGCAUAGAUUCCUCUAGGAUUCUUUUCUUCUCUUCACCCCUUUUUCUAAUUUCUUCAUUCCUCUCUUUUAGUUUUAUGAUGUCAUCUUCUAGAAAUGAGUCUGGGGUGAGAUUCUUCUAAGGGA
rnacentral:lncRNA from 1 species